GUCUUAGUAAGCUUAUUGAGCUGAACCUGUCUUGUUGCAGCAAACUUGAAUCUCUUCCAGAAACUGUCUGCAAUCUUAGAUCACUGAAAAUUCUGGAUAUUGGCUGGUGUAGUAGUGUGAAAGCUUUACCAACAGAAUUGGGGAACCUUGAAUCUNGGUAGUAGUGUGAAAGCUUUACCAACAGAAUUGGGGAACCUUGAAUCUCUAAUAGAGCUCAAGGCUAUGAGACUAACUGUACCAAAAUUACCGGAUUCGAUUGGACGUCUUAGUAAGCUUGUUAAGCUGAACUUGUCUGUUUCCGAAAAGCUUAAAACUCUUCCAGAUAGUAUUUGC
rnacentral:lncRNA from 1 species